GUGAGGAAUAUUGGUCAAUGGGCGGAAGCCUGAACCAGCCAUGCCGCGUGAAGGAUGAAGGCCUAUGGGUUGUAAACUUCUUUUCUUAGAGAAGAAUAUUGACGGUAUCUGAGGAAUAAGCACCGGCUAACUCCGUGCCAGCAGCCGCGGUAAUACGGAGGGUGCGAGCGUUGUCCGGAUUUAUUGGGUUUAAAGGGUGCGUAGGCGGCUGAUUAAGUCAGCGGUGAAAGACUUCGGCUUAACCGGAGCAGUGCCGUUGAUACUGGUUGGCUUGAGUGUCGGAGGGGUACAUGGAAUUGAUGGUGUAGCGGUGAAAUGCAUAGAUACCAUCAGGAACACCGAUAGCGAAGGCAUUGUACUGGCCGACAACUGACGCUGAUGCACGAAAGUGUGGGGAUCGAACAGGAUUAGAAACCCCAGUAGUCC
rnacentral:rRNA from 1 species